rnacentral:rRNA from 1 species
UACGUAGGGCGCAAGCGUUGUCCGGAAUUAUUGGGCGUAAAGAGCUCGUAGGUGGUCUGUUGCGUCCGCUGUGAAAACUCGGGGCUUAACCCCGAGCCUGCAGUGGAUACGGGCAGACUAGAGGUAGGUAGGGGAGAAUGGAAUUCCUGGUGUAGCGGUGAAAUGCGCAGAUAUCAGGAGGAACACCGGUGGCGAAGGCGGUUCUCUGGGCCUUACCUGACACUGAGGAGCGAAAGCGUGGGGAGCGAACAGG